rnacentral:rRNA from 1 species
GGAGUCUAGCAUGUGCGCGAGUCAUUGGGACUCCGUUAGCGAAACCUAAAGGCGAAAUGAAAGUGAAGGCGCGCGCCGCUUCGUCGGCGCGCGCCGAGGGAGGAUGGGCGUCCGAGCCGGAGGCAACGACGGCCGCGUCGCCCCGCACUCCCGGGGCGUCUCGUUCUCAUCGCGAGAAGAGGCGCACCCAGAGCGUACACGCUGGGACCCGAAAGAUGGUGAACUAUGCCUGGUCAGGACGAAGUCAGGGGAAACCCUGAUGGAGGUCCGUAGCGAUUCUGACGUGCAAAUCGAUCGUCGGAACUGGGUAUAGGGGCGAAAGACUAAUCGAACCAUCUAGUAGCUGGUUCCCUCCGAAGUUUCCCUCAGGAUAGCUGGCGCUCGUCGAGCGCGAGUCUCAUCCGGUAAAGCGAAUGAUUAGAGGCAUUGGGGUCGAAACGGCCUCAACCUAUUCUCAAACUUUAAAUGGGUGAGAUCUCCGGCUUGCUUGAAGCGUGAAGCCGCGAGAUCGGAUCUAGAGUGCCAAGUGGGCCACUUUUGGUAAGCAGAACUGGCGCUGUGGGAUGAACCAAACGCGGAGUUAAAGCGCCCAAAUCGACGCUUAUGGGAUACCAUGAAAGGCGUUGGUAACUUAAGACAGCAGGACGGUGGCCAUGGAA